rnacentral:rRNA from 1 species
UGGGGAAUCUUCCGCAAUGGACGAAAGUCUGACGGAGCAACGCCGCGUGAGUGAAGAAGGCCUUCGGGUUGUAAAGCUCUGUUAUUAGGGACGAACGUUCUAUGUGUAAACAAUGCAUAGAAGUGACGGUACCUAAGGAGGAAGCCACGGCUAACUACGUGCCAGCAGCCGCGGUAAUACGUAGGUGGCAAGCGUUGUCCGGAAUUAUUGGGAGUAAAGCGCGCGCAGGUGGGCUAGUCAGUCUCAUGUAAAAGUGCGGGGCUCAACCCCGGAG